AUAUCAAUAAGCGGAGGAAAAGAAACUAACAAGGAUUCCCCUAGUAACUGCGAGUGAACCGGGAAGAGCUCAAAUUUUGAAUCUGGCGGUCUUUGGGUCGUCCGAGUUGUAAUCUAGAGAAGCGUCUUCCGCGCUGGACCGUGUAUAAGUUUCCUGGAAAGGAACGUCGUAGAGGGUGAAAAUCCCGUCUUUGACACGGACUCCCAGGGCUAUGUGAUGCGCUCUCGACGAGUCGAGUUGUUUGGGAAUGCAGCUCCAAUAGGGUGGUAAAUUCCAUCUAAAGCUAAAUAUAGGCGAGAGACCGAUAGCGAACAAGUACCGUGAGGGAAAGACGAAAAGAACUUUGGAAAGAGAGUUAAACAGUACGUGAAAUUGCUGAAAGGGAAACGCUUGAUGUCAGUCGCGUUGGCCGGGGAUCAGCCUUGCUUAACCGCUAGGCGUACUUCCUGGUCGACGGGUCAGCAUCAGUUUUGACCGUCGGAAAAGGGCCUGAGGAAAGUGGCACUCCUUCGGGAGUGUGUUAUAGACUUGGCUUGAAUACGAUGGUUGGGACUGAGGAACUCAGCACGGCCCUUUGGGUCUCGGGGCUUUGGCCCACGUUCGCGUGCUUAGGAUGCUGGCAUAAUGGCCUUAAGCGA
rnacentral:rRNA from 1 species